rnacentral:rRNA from 1 species
UCGGGAAUUUUGGACAAUGGGGGCAACCCUGAUCCAGCAAUGCCGCGUGAGUGAAGAAGGCCUUCGGGUUGUAAAGCUCUUUUGUCAGGGAAGAAACGGUAGUAGCGAAUAACUAUUACUAAUGACGGUACCUGAAGAAUAAGCACCGGCUAACUACGUGCCAGCAGCCGCGGUAAUACGUAGGGUGCAAGCGUUAAUCGGAAUUACUGGGCGUAAAGCGUGCGCAGGCGGUUGUGUAAGUCAGAUGUGAAAUCCCCGGGCUCAACCUGGGAAUUGCAUUUGAGACUGCACGGCUAGAGUGUGUCAGAGGGGGGUAGAAUUCCACGUGUAGCAGUGAAAUGCGUAGAUAUGUGGAGGAAUACCGAUGGCGAAGGCAGCCCCCUGGGAUAACACUGACGCUCAUGCACGAAAGCGUGGGGAGCAAACAGGAUUAGAUACCCUGGUAGUCCCUGAGCGGGCUGGCAAGGCGCAU